rnacentral:misc_RNA from 1 species
GAUGAAGAACGCAGUGAAAUGCGAUAAGUAGUGUGAAUUGCAGAAUUCAGUUAAUCAUCGAAUCUUUGAACGCACAUUGCGCCCCUUGGUAUUCCAUGGGGCAUGCCUGUUCGAGCGUCAUUUGUACCUUCAAGCUUUGCUUGGUGUUGGGUGUUUGUCCUGAGGGACUCGCCUUAAAGUAAUUGGCAGCCAGUGUUUGGUUUUGAAGCGCAGCACAAGUCGCGAUUCAAGGCUAUACACCAGCUUCCACAAGCCUUUUUCACUUUUGACCUCGGAUCAGGUAGGGAUACCCGCUGAACUUAAGCAUAUCAAUAAGCGGAGGA